rnacentral:rRNA from 1 species
CCUACGGGUGGCAGCAGUGAGGAAUAUUGGUCAAUGGACGAGAGUCUGAACCAGCCAAGUAGCGUGAAGGAUGACUGCCCUAUGGGUUGUAAACUUCUUUUAUAUGGGAAUAAAAUGUUCCACGUGUGGUCUUUUGUAUGUACCAUAUGAAUAAGGAUCGGCUAACUCCGUGCCAGCAGCCGCGGUAAUACGGAGGAUCCGAGCGUUAUCCGGAUUUAUUGGGUUUAAAGGGAGCGUAGGUGGAUUGUUAAGUCAGUUGUGAAAGUUUGCGGCUCAACCGUAAAAGUGCAGUUGAAACUGGCAGUCUUGAGUACAGUAGAGGUGGGCGGAAUUCGUGGUGUAGCGGUGAAAUGCUUAGAUAUCACGAAGAACUCCGAUUGCGAAGGCAGCUCACUGGACUGCAACUGACACUGAGGCUCGAAAGUGUGGGUAUCAAACAGUAUUAGAUACCCCUGUAGUC